rnacentral:rRNA from 1 species
GACGAACGCUGGCGGCGUGCUUAACACAUGCAAGUCGAACGGGUCUGCCCUGUUUUUUGCGGGGUGGGUCAGUGGCGAACGGGUGAGUAACACGUGAGUAACCUGCCCCUCACUUCUGGAUAACCGCUUGAAAGGGUGGCUAAUACGGGGUGUUCUGGCUGUGCCGCAUGGUGUGGCUGGGAAAGAUUCACUUUUGUGGUGUUUUGGUGGGGGAUGGGCUCGCGGCCUAUCAGCUUGUUGGUGGGGUGAUGGCCGGCCAAGGCUUUGACGGGUGGCCGGCCUGGGAGGGUGGGCGGUCACACUGGGACUGAGAUACGGCCCAGACUCCUGCGGGAGGCAGCAGUGGGGGGUAUUGCACAAUGGGCGGAAGCCUGAUGCAGCGACGUCGCGUGAGGGAUGGAGGCCUUCGGGUUGUGAACCUCUUUCGCCGGUGAAGAAGGUCCUGCUCUUUGUGGUGGGGUUGACGGUAGCCGGGUUAUGAAGCGCCGGCUAACUACGU